UACAGAGGGUGCAAGCGUUAAUCGGAAUUACUGGGCGUAAAGCGCACGUAGGCGGUUUUUUAAGUCAGAUGUGAAAGCCCCCGGGCUCAACCUGGGAAUUGCAUUUGGAAACUGGAAAACUUAGAGUGUGUGAGAGGGGGGGUAGAAUUCCAAGUGUAGCGGUGAAAUGCGUAGAGAUUUGGAGGAAUACCAGUGGCGAAGGCGGCCCCCCCUGGCACAACACUGACGCUCAGGUGCGAAAGCGUGGGGGAGCAAAACAGGAUUAGAUACCCGCGUAGU
rnacentral:rRNA from 1 species